AUGCCAAAAUCAUUGGGCAGCGACCAGAAAGAUUGGUCACUAUUUACUGGUGUCAAUAAUGAACUGAACCUCCAGACUACAGAUCAUGUCAGAAAUCAUGAGUCCACAGGACAAAGUGUGAAGACCUUCAGCUAUUCUCCAGAUAAUAGUUCAUCCAUACUCAACUUGUACAAAGAAUCUAAAUUUGUCGAUGCUGUUCACGUUCCUCAAAGUUGUUCCGAAAGUGUAGUCAGCUCUUCUGAUAUGUUCUCUAGCAAUGAAGUGAACUCUUCGUUUGGAACAGAUGAAAACCAUUCCAUUAAAUCAGGAAGCGACAAUAUUUUGGUUGAUUUCUACCAUAAGCUGAGAGAAGAAUCCAUGGCAAUGAUAUUCCGGUAUAAUAAGGAUAUUAAGGAGGCCCAGAAGAGUUCUGCACAUUCUGAUGGAAACAAAAAAGAGACAGCAAUUGAAAGGGAGAUCCAGGAAAUCUGGGAGAAACUACGAGAUUCUUCGCUGGCAGAAGGAUUUCGCAUUGAGGAACAGCCUUCGAGGGAUGAGAGUAUUUCUGGAUUGCUUAACAGUACCAAAGAGGAACACAUAAAGGAUUUUGAGCAGCACUAUCAUUUAGCAGAGAAAAUAGCACUGGCACAGCAUGACAUGAGUUUGGCAGUUGAACUUUACAAGCAUAGUGUGUCAACCCUACAUACCUUGGGACUAGCAUCCAAAGAGGAGCAAUGCGAUUAUGUCGUCGCAUGGUACAGUAUGUUUCUUUCCUGUGCUCAGGAACUGCAGCAUGGAGCAGUGCUUUGGCAAGAAUCUUGUCAUCUGAAAGUCCAUGAUCUAGUAAUUUCUGAAGGUGCAAAUUGGUUUGUUGCUCUUGGGGAGAUCUACAGAGUUGCACACCUCUUGCAUUUGUCAUUGCAGUAUUUCAAGCCUUGGGUUCUUGCGGAUCCCGGGAUGUUUAGUAAAAUGUUGGCUUGUUGGGACAGCUGCAUUAAUGCAUGGACUAGUGGUUUAGAAACAGCUCUUAAAACAGUUGUUGACAGCGAUCACUUAGCUGCACCCGCUGGUAAAGCUCUUCUGGAGUCCAUCGUCAGUAUUAAUGAACUUGAGCUGGCCAAUUUUGAACGUUGUCUUGCCAACAACGAGUUGACAUGCCGACUAACACUCCUGCCAACUGGUCUUUUACAAGGAGGGAAAGUGGUUGUGUGGAACGGUAAUCACUAUUUUGUUAAAGUUGCCAAUUUUUGGGCAAAUCGGGUAUCUUCCGAUCCUCCUCGGCUUUCACUCGUUCAUAUCUCUUCAAUGGACGGUACAAGCAAUAGCUGCCUGCCUUUUUGA
rnacentral:rRNA from 1 species